UUGAACGCUGGCGGCAUGCUUUACACAUGCAAGUCGAACGGCAGCGCGGGCUUCGGCCUGGCGGCGAGUGGCGAACGGGUGAGUAAUGCAUCGGAACGUGCCCAGUAGUGGGGGAUAGCCCGGCGAAAGCCGGAUUAAUACCGCAUACGACCUGAGGGUGAAAGCGGGGGACCGAAAGGCCUCGCGCUAUUGGAGUGGCCGAUGUCGGAUUAGCUAGUUGGUGGGGUAAAGGCUUACCAAGGCGACGAUCCGUAGCUGGUCUGAGAGGACGACCAGCCACACUGGGACUGAGACACGGCCCAGACUCCUACGGGAGGCAGCAGUGGGGAAUUUUGGACAAUGGGGGCAACCCUGAUCCAGCCAUGCCGCGUGCGGGAAGAAGGCCUUCGGGUUGUAAACCGCUUUUGUUCGGGAAGAAAUCCUCUGGGCUAAUACCCCGGGGGGAUGACGGUACCGGAAGAAUAAGCACCGGCUAACUACGUG
rnacentral:rRNA from 1 species